rnacentral:rRNA from 1 species
UACAGAGGGUGCAAGCGUUGUUCGGAAUUAUUGGGCGUAAAGCGCGCGUAGGCGGCCGUGCAAGUCGGGUGUGAAAGCCCUCGGCUCAACCGAGGAAGUGCGCCCGAAACUGCAUGGCUUGAGUACCGGAGAGGAUGGCGGAAUUCCCCAAGUAGAGGUGAAAUUCGUAGAUAUGGGGAGGAACACCGGUGGCGAAGGCGGCUCUCUGGGACGGUACUGACGCUGAGACGCGAAAGCGUGGGGAGCGAACAGG